GCCACUGGUACAAAAUUUGCCUUGAAAUCGGCACGCAAAACGGCGGCAACUGGUAAGGACUUGCCGUUUCUUGGGUCUCAUCUCAAAGAGNNNNNNNNNGGUUCCCAGAAGAAAUAAAUCUCCGAUGUCUUGGAAAAAGUCGUCCUCUUGGCACAUGGACGAUGAUGAGGAUGAUCCAAAGUCCUGGGGUGUGUCCAGGAAUAUGUCACUGAAAUAUUCACUUGAUAUGCUCUCUUGUAAAACGGUGCUUGUUGUCGUUGCUAUUGUGUCAUCGAAGAGUGAAGGUCCUGUACUCGAAAAAUUGAAGAAAUCAUUCAAGAAUGGCUCCUCCAAUAAGGGUAAGUCCAGCGGUAAUAGAUACUCUGCUGAUUCGUCGGAUACGUUCGUUUCCCCUUCACACUCUUCAAGUACUACUUGUUCAACCGGUUUACUUUCUAUUUUUGAUUUUUCUACUGGUUCUACCGGCUUCUGCAGUUCAGAUUCUUCAUUGCAAUGAGCUCUAAAGUUCAGCACAGAUUUUGGGGAUGAGAGAUUUUGAGACUCAUCGCCGGAUUCAUAGCCAGAAGUUGAAGUCACAUGAAUUUCUGGCUUUUCUUCUACUUGUUCUCCUUCUGCUUCUGCUUCUUCCUGUUGUUCUUCUCUUCUUGGCGGUUUUAUGAAGUUGGUUAAAGCAUCGGGUCCCCGAAGCUUAAUUGCAGCAUUGUCAUAAACCAUAGCAGCCUCCUCAGCUGUGUCAUAGGUGCCUAGCCAUAACCGCACAUGUCUUGCAGGAUCUCGAAUCUCUGCAGCCCAUUUACCCCAUGGCCGUUGCCGGACUCCACGGAACUUUCUGCCAUUAGUAUUUGCUGUAUUGAGUUUGAUUGGCCG
rnacentral:misc_RNA from 1 species